rnacentral:rRNA from 1 species
GACGAACCGUCCAAACGUUAUUCGGAAUCACUGGGCUUAAAGGGUGCGUAGGCGGCGCGGAAAGUUGGGUGUGAAAUCCACUGGCUUAACUGGUGGCUUGCUUUCGAUACGGGCAGACUGGAGGUAUGCAGGGGAGAACGGAAUUCCUGGUGUAGCGGUGAGAUGCGCAGAUAUCAGGAGGAACACCGGUGGCGAAGGCGGUUCUCUGGGCAUGUCCUGACGCUGAGGAGAGAAAGUGUGGGGAGCGAACAGG